rnacentral:rRNA from 1 species
GACGAACGCUGGCGGCGUGCCUAAUACAUGCCAGUAGAACGCUGAAGGAGGAGCUUGCUCUUCUGGAUGAGUUGCGAACGGGUGAGUAACGCGUAGGUAACCUGCCUGGUAGCGGGGGAUAACUAUUGGAAACGAUAGCUAAUACCGCAUAACAGUAGAUGUUGCAUGACAUUUACUUAAAAGGUGCAAUUGCAUCACUACCAGAUGGACCUGCGUUGUAUUAGCUAGUUGGUGGGGUAACGGCUCACCAAGGCGACGAUACAUAGCCGACCUGAGAGGGUGAUCGGCCACACUGGGACUGAGACACGGCCCAGACUCCUACGGGAGGCAGCAGUAGGGAAUCUUCGGCAAUGGACGGAAGUCUGACCGAGCAACGCCGCGUGAGUGAAGAAGGUUUUCGGAUCGUAAAGCUCGGUUGUAAGAGAAGAACGAGUGUGAGAGUGGAAAGUUCACACUGUGACGGUAUCUUACCAGAAAGGGACGGCUAACUACGUG